CUUUUUAAAGACUUAUAAGCAGGUGCUUGCUUGGAACGAUCCAGAGAAGAUUAGCAUGGCCCCUGCACAAGGAUGACAGGCAAACUCAUGAAGCAUUCCAUAUUUAA
rfam:Erinaceus europaeus unplaced genomic scaffold scaffold00320, whole genome shotgun sequence